CACACAGCUAAUGAACAAAGAUUAUAUCACACACACAGCUAGUGAACAAAGAAAGAACAGCUCAGUGAACAAAGAAAUUAAUUUAAUAUAUCACACACAAAGCUAGUAAACAAAGAAUAUAUCACACACAGCUAGUAUAUCAAUACUCUGCGCCAGCUGGAGUCACAGUACCAAAAGAAAAUCCACUGCUAAGGACAGACAUAGCUAAAAGAAAAUGUAAAUCAAUUGACCAUUGGCGGAUAAUGGUAAUGUUAGAUGUGGCAAAAUAUGCAGGUCGACGCUGGGGCUAUGUAGCCACGAGAAAUACGUACUGUAUUCCUCAUUAAUCUUCAGACUUGGAGACACUCCUUAUUAUUGGUAUUAGAAUUAAAUAAAAAAUCAGAGUUGCUCAACUUGAGUACAAAAACACAUUUAACACACAACUGGAGUACAAAGAAAAAAUAAAAC